UACAGAGGGAGCUAGCGUUUUUCGGAAUUAUUGGGCGUAAAGAGCGCGUAGGCGGCUAAUUAAGUUGAAAGUGAAAUCCCAGAGCUUAACUCUGGAAUUGCUUUCAAAACUAAUUAGCUAGAGUUUGGUAGGGGAUGAUGGAAUUCUUGGUGUAGGGGUAAAAUUCUUAGAUAUCAGGAGGAACACCGGUGGCGAAGGCGAUCAUCUGGGCCAUAACUGACGCUGAUGCGCGAAAGCGUGGGGGAGCAAACAGG
rnacentral:rRNA from 1 species